UUGAUCCUACGGGGGGCAGCAGUGGGGGAUAUUGCACAAUGGGGGGAACCCUGAUGCAGCGACGCCGCGUGGGUGAAGAAGCGCCUCGGCGCGUAAAGCCCUGUCAGCAGGGAAGAAAAUGACGGUAACUGAAGAAGAAGCCCCGGCUAACUACGUGCCAGCAGCCGCGUUAAUACGUAGGGGGCAAGAGUUAUCCGGAUUUAAUGGGUGUAAAGGGGGCGUAGACGGGGAUGCAAGCAAGGAGUG
rnacentral:rRNA from 1 species